CACAUCGCCUCCCCCGCCAGGUCUAAGCAGAGGAAGAAGCAGGAGAUGGCACAGAUGGGCAUAGAGCCAGAGCCACCCCAGCCCUGCUGCAGGACCAGCCCUCAGCCGCGUUAUCAGUGCCCAUCUGAGUCAACUGUGCACAAAAACAGGAAGACUGGGACAAGAUCUUUCACCUUCCUUCGAUUGUCAUCAUCCAAUUGUUCUUCCCGCGGUGACGCCAUCCGGCAGCUUCACCGAUAUUCCUCUCUGGCAUGACAGGGCCAGGCCCACCCCCCACAGAGGAGACAAGGAGGCGGAGAAGCCAGCCUUUCUGCAGGGCAUAGGCACAGGGCUAUGUGGUUGCCAGAUGCACAGAAAGACCCUCAACCACAACCUGGGCUUUCAGGGCAAACCCAAGGGGCUUUUCGUGACUAUGCCGGGGGCGUGGAAAUGACUCCUCAAAAUGCAGCACUUGCGGCAACAGGGGAGCAGCCCUGCCAGAGAGGCCCAAAUCCUGGACUCAAGUGCCUGCUGCAUGGCAGGUGGUCCCGGACAGUGAGGGCCCUCUCAGAGGAAAACAUGGUGAGACCUGGGAUCUGGGCUUUGACAACUGGCCAGUAAGAUUGAGGCUGGCAGGCUUGUGGGCACAAUUGGCCACAGCAGCCGCUGCACUCCUGGAAGAGCUGCAUGAGGAGUAGGUGGCUUCCCCAGAGUCCCCACCUCCAGCAGGAAAGCAUGGACAGGAACCAGAGGGGCUGGAACCUCUGGAGACCUGGUAGGGAAAGGCCACCCAACCCCCCGGUGCUUCUAGGAAGAUUUUUCAAUGUAUGAUUCUGACCAGUGGGAAGUUGCCACAAAGCCCUGGGGCUGGAAGAAGCCAUGCACCAGGAUAGCAGGUCUUAAGUGAGGAGGGCAAGGACAAAGAUGAAUCAGGACACCCACCCAGAGCCCGGAAGGUGGAAGAAGCUGCCCUCACCUCACCAGCCCCUGCUAGAUACUCACACACUCACACACAUGGGUGUGCAGGUGCACACACGCAUGCACACACACACACACACACACACAGGGGCUGCUGGGAAGUGAGUGGGUCCCUGCUCCCUGUGGAAUAUGUGAAGCCACUUGGGGCCAGCUGGGCUUUGCCACAUCAUUCCCGCCUGUGAAAGAGGCCUCUGAGGUUCUGGUGCCACCUGGAUAAUUCAAAGCCCAUCCAGCCUGGGGUUGUCCCCCUACCAGGAUCUUCCCCAGGGCUUUGGAGGCCUCACCCUUCCUGGCCUCCAGGGGCUCCAUUCAUGUCCAGCAUAAACACAUGGCCGGGAGGGG
rnacentral:lncRNA from 10 species